rnacentral:rRNA from 1 species
UGGGGAAUCUUCCACAAUGGACGCAAGUCUGAUGGAGCAACGCCGCGUGAGUGAAGAAGGUUUUCGGACCGUAAAGCUCUGUUGUUGGUGAAGAAGGAUAGAGGUAGUAACUGGCCUUUAUUUGACGGUAAUCAACCAGAAAGUCACGGCUAACUACGUGCCAGCAGCCGCGGUAAUACGUAGGUGGCAAGCGUUGUCCGGAUUUAUUGGGCGUAAAGCGAGCGCAGGCGGAAGAAUAAGUCUGAUGUGAAAGCCCUCGGCUUAACCGAGGAAUUGCAUCGGAAACUGUUUUCUU